rnacentral:rRNA from 1 species
GACGAACGCUGGCGGCGUGCUUAACACAUGCAAGUCGAACGGUGAAGCUCCAGCUUGCUGGCGUGGAUCAGUGGCGAACGGGUGAGUAACACGUGAGCAACCUGCCCCUGACUCUGGAAUAAGCGCUGGAAACGGCGUCUAAUACUGGAUACGAGAAGGGUCCGCAUGGGCACUUUCUGGAAAGGUUCUCGGUUGGGGAUGGGCUCGCGGCCUAUCAGCUUGUUGGUGAGGUAAUGGCUGACAAAGGCGACGACGGGUAGCCGGCCUGAGAGGGCGACCGGCCACACUGGGACUGAGGCACGGCCCAGACGCCUACGGUAGGCAGCAGUGGAGAGUAUUGCGCAAUGGGCGAACGCGUGAUGCGGCGACGCCGCGUGCGGGAUAACGGCCUUCGAGUUGUAAACCUCUGUGAACAGGGAAGAAGCGAACGUGACGGUACCUACAGAAGAAGCAACGGCUAACUACGUG